rnacentral:tRNA from 1 species
AGUUUUAUAGUCAAAUGAUGAUUUUAGAUUGCAAAUCUAAAGGUAAAGUUAAACUUUUAAGGCUU